UACAGAGGUCCCAAGCGUUGUUCGGAUUCACUGGGCGUAAAGGGUGCGUAGGUGGCCUGGUAAGUUUGAUGUGAAAGCCCGCAGCUUAACUGCGGAAUGGCAUUGAAUACUAUCAGGCUCGAGGGUUGGAGGGGAGACUGGAAUUCUCGGUGUAGCAGUGAAAUGCGUAGAUAUCGAGAGGAACACCGGUGGCGAAGGCGAGUCUCUGGACAACCCCUGACACUGAGGCACGAAAGCUAGGGGAGCAAACAGG
rnacentral:rRNA from 1 species